AGCUAUUCUACUGAGUGCUAAAACUACAAAUUUCCUUAACCGUUCCAUCACGCAUAUCACUCUCGCUCAAACCCUAAUGAGCGAAAACUCCCAAAAGAACAACUUCUCCUAUGCAAAUCCGAAACUCUCAAUUGUGUCUUUGCCAUUGAUAUUCAGUGGCAAAAAACGACUCAAUUUCACUUCAUGUGCUGGAUUUCAAAGGGGUAUGCUGCUCAAUUUUGUGCUAAAUUUCUGAGGUAUUGUUGCACAGGAGCAUGCUCUGAUUGAAUCCUUGUCAACAUAUCCACAGUAUUUGAGAAACAAAGCCGUCCAACGUGAUAAAGGUGCAACGAAAGAAUGAAGAAGCCUGGGACACUUGAGCUUCAUAUUAGCUACGUACUACAAACAAUCGUCUAUAUCCUAGUUGGUUAUUCUAGGCUUUAGUUUAUUUUACUAUGAAUUUUAGUUUUUCUAGGAUUAGUUUCUUUUACUAUGGAUUUUAGUUUUCUAGGCUUUAGUUUCUUUUACUAUGGUUUUUAGUUUUCUAGGCUUUAGUUUUAUUUAGCUACUAUGAACCAUCAUUUUUAAAUAAGUAUAUAGCUAGAUCCUAGUUAAUUAGUAAUGUGAAUUUGUACCGUACUUAUUGCUAGAUCCUAAUUAAUUAGUAACAUGAAUGUACUAUGGGUUUUAACAAAA